AGAUGCCUACGGGGCGCAGCAGUGGGGAAUAUUGCACAAUGGGGGAAACCCUGAUGCAGCGACGCCGCGUGAGUGAAGGAGUAUUUCGGUACGUAAAGCUCUAUCAGCAGGGAAGAAAUAAAGUCCUUUGGACUUUGGACGGUACCUGACUAAGAAGCCCCGGCUAACUACGUGCCAGCAGCCGCGGUAAUACGUAGGGGGCAAGCGUUAUCCGGAUUUACUGGGUGUAAAGGGAGCGUAGACGGCAGCGCAAGUCUGGCGGGAAAUCCCAUGGCUUAACCAUGGAACUGCUUUGGAAACUGUGU
rnacentral:rRNA from 1 species